AAAUCUCUAUGAAAAUUGAGCUUUACUAUUGCUAGUGGUGCAUUUUCUCUGAGUCCUGUACGCAGAAGGAUGU